rnacentral:rRNA from 1 species
CAAUAGCGUAUAUUAAAGUUGUUGCGGUUAAAGCUCGUAGUUGGAUUUCUGCCGAGGACGACCGGUCCGCCCUCUGGGUGAGUAUCUGGUUCGGCCUGGGCAUCUUCUUGGAGAACGUAUCUGCACUUGACUGUGUGGUGCGGUAUCCAGGACUUUACUUGAGGAAAUUAGAGUGUUUCAAGCAGGCACACGCCUUGAAUACAUUAGCAUGGAAUAAUAAGAUAGGGCGCUGGCUCCAUUUUGUUGGUUUCUAGAGCUGGGGUAAUGGUUAAUAGGGAUAGUUGGGGCAUUUGUAUUUAACUGUCAGAGGUGAAAUUCUUGGAUUUGUUAAAGACAGACUACUGCGAAAGCACUUGCCAUGGAUGUUUUCAUUGAUCAAGAACGAAAGUUAGGGGGAUCGAAGACGAUUAGAU